rnacentral:lncRNA from 1 species
UAUUCAGACCGAAGUGGCAUUUAGGCCAGUUUUCCGAUGUUCAGAUCGAAGAAGUUUCCGACGUUCAGGUCGAUGCAACUUGUGGCAUUCAGGCAAAUUUUCUGGUAUUCAGACCGAAGUGGCAUUCAGGCCAGUUUUUCGAUGUUCAGAUCGAAGAAGUUUCCGACAUUCAGGUCGACGCAACUUGUGGUAGUCAGGCUAGUUUUCUGGUGUUCAGACCGAUGUUUGAUAAUCUAGUAUCUUCCAAUGCUC